rnacentral:ncRNA from 1 species
CCGACUCCUCUGUUUCUGAAACAACCUCUAUAGCCAUUGAGCUAGAACUGUUGUCUUUGUUUGAGUUCUUUUUGAUUUUUUUAAGAUUUUGCACAGGCGUUGCAUGGCUGUCGUCAGCCCGUGGUGCCAAACCGUCCAGUCAGGGCACGGGCAUCUCCCUAGCUCAGUAUAGCGGUCUUUAUCACUUUUAAUCGAGUGAUAAACUCUCCACUUUGAAAACAAAAAAGAAACAACAAAAAUUAAAACUGUGGAGAAAAGAAACCUAUAAUAGCCUAUACGAGACAUCUCGUGAUUUUUUUUUUACAAACCGAGAGGUUUGCUUUUAAGAGAUUUCAUAAUCACGGGAAGGAAGCUGGGACCACGUCAAGUCAUCAUGGCCCAUAUGGAGUGGGCUACACGUGUGUGACAUGGACCGUUUCAAUGCGUCAAGGUUGAAAGCCUUGGUCUAGGAAAAACGGUCAUAGUACGGAUGAUUGUUUGCAACUCAGCAAUCUGAAGCAGGAAUCGCCAGUAAUCGCGGAUUAGCCCGCCGCGGUGAA